CCCGCACAAGCGGUGGAGCAUGUGGUUUAAUCGAAGCAACGCGAAGUAACCUUACCAGGUCUUGACAUCCCGAUGCUAUUUCUAGAGAUAGAAAGUUACUUCGGUACAUCGGUGACAGGUGGUGCAUGGUUGUCGUCAGCUCGUGUCGUGAGAUGUUGGGUUAAGUCCCGCAACGAGCGCAACCCCUAUUGUUAGUUGCCAUCAUUCAGUUGGGCACUCUAGCGAGACUGCCGGUAAUAAACCGGAGGAAGGUGGGAUGACGUCAAAUCAUCAUGCCCCUUAUGACCUGGGCUACACACGUGCUACAAUGGUUGGUACAACGAGUUGCGAGUCGGUGACGGCGAGCUAAUCUCUUAAAGCCAAUCUCAGUUCGGAUUGUAGGCUGCAACUCGCCUACAUGAAGUCGGAAUCGCUAGUAAUCGCGGAUCAGCACGCCGCGGUGAAUACGUUCCCGGGCCUU
rnacentral:rRNA from 1 species